rnacentral:tRNA from 1 species
GGGGUCGUGGUGUAGUUGGUAACACGCAUCAAUCGAAUUGAUGAGAUUGCGAGUUCGAAUCUCCGCCGAUUCCA